UUAAGUUCAGCGGGUAUUCCUACCUGAUCCGAGGUCAACCAUUAAAAAUUGGGGGGUUUAGCGGCUGGGAGCUGCAGCACCUAACAAAAGCGAGAUAAAAAUUUACUACGCUCAGAGGAUACCACAGAUCCGCCGUUGGAUUUGAGGAACUACAAUACAGUAGAUUCCCAAUACUAAGCUAGGCUUAAGGGUUGAAAUGACGCUCGAACAGGCAUGCCCACUAGAAUACUAAUGGGCGCAAUGUGCGUUCAAAGAUUCGAUGAUUCACUGAAUUCUGCAAUUCACAUUACUUAUCGCAUUUCGCUGCGUUCUUCAUCGAUGCCAGAACCAAGAGAUCCGUUGUUGAAAGUUUUAAUAAUUAAAUUAUUUCAGACGCUGACUGCUAUUACAAAAAGGUUGAUAAAAAGUCCUAACGGGGGGCAAGCCCCCCGAGGAAACGUGUGGUACGUAUAGACAAAGGUAGAAAACGGUGUAAACCGAAAUCGUUAAUGAUCCUU
rnacentral:misc_RNA from 1 species